rnacentral:rRNA from 1 species
CGGGUGAGUAACGUGUGGGCAACCUGCCCUAUACUGGGGAAUAAUCACUGGAAACGGUGACUAAUACCGCAUGUCAUUACGGAAGGGCAUCCUUCUGUAAGAAAAGGAGUAAUUCGGUAUAGGAUGGGCCCGCAUCUGAUUAGCUAGUUGGUGAGAUAACAGCCCACCAAGGCGACGAUCAGUAGCCGACCUGAGAGGGUGAUCGGCCACAUUGGGACUGAGACACGGCCCAA